rnacentral:rRNA from 1 species
UACGUAGGGGGCAAGCGUUGUCCGGAAUCAUUGGGCGUAAAGAGCGUGUAGGCGGCCCGAUAAGUCCGCUGUGAAAGUCCAGGGCUCAACCCUGGAAUGCCGGUGGAUACUGUCGGGCUCGAAUCCGGAAGAGGUGAGUGGGAAUUCCUGGUGUAGCGGUGAAAUGCGCAGAUAUCAGGAGGAACACCGGUGGCGAAGGCGGGAUCCUGGGCCAGUACUGACGCUGAGGAGCGGAAAGCGUGGGGAGCAAACAGGG